rnacentral:rRNA from 1 species
ACGCUCGACACCUACGGUAGGCAGCAGUUGGGAAUAUUGGACAAUGGAGGAAACUCUGAUCCAGUGACGCCGCGUGAAGGAAGAAGGUCUUCGGAUUGUAAACUUAUUUUGUCAGGGAAGAAAAAUGACUGUACCUGAAGAAAAAGCACCGGCUAACUACGUGCCGACAGCCGCGGUAAUCUGAGCGGGCUGGCAAGGC